rnacentral:lncRNA from 1 species
CCCAGCUCACCUGUGAGCACCCAGCUGGAGACAACAGAUCUGCCACCCUGCUGUAUCCACCAAGACAGCAAACCUAUCUGCUGUGUCCAUCAAUCGCUGUGCAGACAGAGCAGUCCCACGACUAUUGUAAAAGGACAUUUCAACCCUAAGUGAAACAUCCUCUUUGGGAGUAUAUAACCACUCUGUACACCCCACUUCUUUGGUGCCCUUUCUUCCUUUGGGAAGACAGGCCCCGGGCCAUGGUCCUCACAUUUUAGCUCAGAAUAAAUUCACCCAAAUUUUCAUUUAUAGAUUGGUUAUGGAUUAUUUUUGUUGACAUUUCUUGGUGUAGUUGGCAGGAUUUCAGAGAAACUCACUGAAGACCACCUGGAAUCUACACUGAACUGGCAUUUGGCACCAAUAGGGGCCCACUGAGCCCCCUGGAUCACUGCAUUCUUCAGGUGACCCUGCUAAAGACAAAGGAGGAUGUUGGGGGUCGGAGGAGUCGACCAUAGGAGAUUACCAUACAAGUACAGUAAAGAAGAGUCAGGUUAUUAUGCAGACUUGAGUCCUUGCCUUCCACAUUGAUGAGUUUCUAGAGACAAGGUCAUCCCUCCUUCUUCCUGGUCCAGCAAGGGAGACACCUGUACAGAUGGAGAUUUCCUUUACAAUGUAAAUGUCUCUUAACAAAGGGUAAGUAAAUUCUACUUUUCAGAGUUUCUUUCCUGUCUGCAUUUUUUAAAAGUAACCAGCCCAAAAUAUUCCUCAUGCCAAAGACACAUAUCUUGGGAUGGCCAAUUCCAGUCCCCCACACUGGGAACUGUGCAGAGGUAGGGGAAGGUCUCCUACUCCCUCUUUCCAUCCUUCAAAAACAAUAUUUCCUAUUCACCUGGGGUAUGUGCAAUUUAUGAUGUGAAGAACAACAGAUCAAGAAGAAAACUUCCCUUAAUGCUUUUAGCUUCAUUGUGAGGGAUGAAAGGGAAAACAUGAGCCUUGAAUGAUGAAGUGUUUACGGUGUGGCAAGUCCACAAAUACAUGUACUUGGCUAACAAUUCUUCUGAGGAUUCAUCUUCCUUGUCCCUUUAAUUGUACUGAUUUUAAAUUUGGUUUUGCCCCCACUAUAAAUGUUAGGAGAUCUUUCCAAGCCUUUAGCCUCACUAUCCAAAUGAAAACAAGUUUAACACAAAGACAGUAGGGACAAAGACAUCUUAU